rnacentral:misc_RNA from 1 species
AAGAGACGUUGCUCUUCGGGGUAUACCUCCCACCCUUUGUUUAUUAUACCUUUGUUGCUUUGGCGGGCCCGUCCUCGGACCACCGGCUUCUGCUGGUCAGUGCCCGCCAGAGGACCUAAAACUCUGUUUGUUAAUAUUGUCUGAGUACUAUAUAAUAGUUA